rnacentral:rRNA from 1 species
GACGAACGCUGGCGGCGUGCUUAACACAUGCAAGUCGAACGAAGUGGCGAACGGGUGAGUAAAGCGUAGUCAACCUGCCCUUCAGAGGGGGACAACAGUUGGAAACGACUGCUAAUACCGCAUACUGAAGGAGGGGAUGGCGUCUGAUAAGGUAGUUGGAGGGGUAAAGGCCCACCAAGGGUAUGAUCAGUAGCCGGUCUGAGAGGAUGAACGGCCACAGUGGGACUGAGACACGGCUCAGACUCCUUAGGGAGGCAGCAGGGGGGAAGCUUCCGAAAUGGACGAAAGUCUGACGGAGCAACGCCGCGUUAGUGAUGACGGCCUUCGGGUUGUAAAGCUCUGUUAAUCGGGACGCGGUACCGGAAUAGAAAGCCACGGCUAACUACGUGCCAGCAGCCGCGGUAAUAC